UUCAACCGUAGAAGAAGAAGAAGAAGAACGAGCGGUCAUAGAAAAGAAAUACAUACAGCAGUGCUACGUGAUAUAAUUGUUUGUGACUGCUGUGGGAUCCUGGGAAAAAACAAAGGGAAUUUCAAUAAACGACCUGUUACACACCACCCCCCAGUUGGAAAAUCUGGACUGGUUACUGAUGAGGGAGGGGUUAUCAGGGUUUCGGCCUCCCAGAAGAGCAUCUGUGCACACGUCACAAUCACUCUGCCCUGUGGCAAAGUUCCAGUAAGGGACUGCAAAGUUCUCAUUGCCAGUGAGCCUCUGAGAAAAACACAUUGUAUGGAUGUUAGCAUGUUUGUUAAAAUGUUAUACAGAUAAUGGUACAGAUAAUUGUUCUAUCAUGGUAAAUCAGUUGAGGUAAACUUCCAUUAUACAUAUUAGAGUCUGAACCUCAGAUUGAAUGAAGAAUUGUGUAGUUUUCUUUUUACAACAACAAAAAAACGUACACACCUGCAUGUCUCGCUCAAAGCUCAGAAGGUGGUAUCUAUGCCAGGUGAUGAAUGCUGGUCCUUUGUGUGAGAAAUCGAUGGCUUUGAAGGGGCGGCCAGGACCUAUGGGGAAAUAUUUCUUAAAAUUGCCUCUCUGGAAUUGAGAAAAUGAAUUCUUUUUGUUAAAAUAGGUAGAGCUGAAAUGAAGUUGUGGCUUUUAAUAAGUACUCGCAGAUUAUUACCAAAAUGUGUAUUUCAUCAGAACUGUGUCACGCAUCAAUACUAUUUUAUCUUAAGAUAGUUUAGCCGUUCUAACAAGGUGACAGCCAAUGUGGAAAGAUGACAUUGUUUUAUAUUUUUAUCCUUAUACAUAAAUAAAUUAGAUUAAAAAAAAAAACAACUAUCAUUCCAUAUUACUCGAAUGUUUGGAAAUGCGACCAUUUACCAAGCAGAGUAUCUCGGACCGAGUAGUAAUGUUGCCAAACGAAGAAGUCGUAGAUGGAGAUGUUGGCAAACUGUGGCUCCGUUCCGUUUGGCCCUAGGACUCCCAGCCAGUGCUGGGUGGCGAUCAUGUAGUCUGGGUGUAUGGUUGUCUUUGCCAGUUGCAGAGCAUCCAGAAACUCCUGGAGCUCGGCAGAGGUCAACGAGUGGAUGUUCUUUCGUACAACAGGAGCUUUCCUCUGGUCGCAGUUUGGUCCGGUCCAGCCAAAUUUGCAUUGACCACAGUCAAAGCCUGCAAAGUUGCCUAAAACACACAAGAAGAAGGUUAACUGAGGAUUUAGGUCCAAUUUUGCGUUGUCAGUAGUAUAAUCACUCACCACUGCAUCUGCAAGUCUGGUUGAAAAAUUUGGUUGGCCAUCUUUCCCGGUCAUCAACGUUUCUUAGUCUGUAUGGUCCUCCCCAGGGUUUAGUGUCCACCCGAACAGCAGUGCAGUUUCCUCUCCCUGUCAGGGUGCCACAUAUGUUGGCAGGAUUGGAGCCUAGAGCAGGGCAGCACUGCUUGGACAGGAUCCCCACCACUGUGCAGCAGACCCGAGGGAAUUGAGCCCCAGCAGGCUGGAGGAACAAGCAAAGGAGGCCAAGAAGGAGCAAGCUCGUCAUUUUCCACCUGCUUCUUUAUUCCGACUCGCACCUCAACACAGGAUGGUGCCAAAGAGCUGUGGAGAAACAAGGUGUGACUGGUAUGGAAUUUCACACAAGAGGGUGCACAGGAGUGUCACAAUCCUCCCACGGUGGAUGGACCCACGAACCAUUUUGUUCAUGUCCGACUCCAACAGGUGCAAAGUGGAUACAAGGUUGUUUUUUUUCCCACGUCUCUGCCACAUUGCAGUGUCCCUUUUAUCCCUUGGCAAAAGUUUGGCGAGCGCUCACGGAGACCUUAAAUAAAGGUAUUCAUCCAUAUAGUACAUGUGAUAUAUGCACACGUUAUCACAUGUUCAAGUUUGUGCAUGCAUAAUCAAACUAUUGCAUCAAUAGUUAGUGUUUCUUUUUUUUUUAAUUCUGUCGUUGGGUCGAUCAUAACGCCGCGGCGUAGGCGGGAUAAGGUUCGAGUUGAGGCUUCCCCAUCCCGGGGAGCAGGAUAUAUGCGAGUGGUGGCUGGAGUCCAGUGGAGGGCCACGCUGUGCAGUUACAAGGGAUCAUGUAGCCCGGGUUCCCGGGGGAAGGGUGCGAGUGGGUGUGCGUCCCAGCACCGACGCCAGCACCGCCGGUACCCGUGAAAGCAGUUGCCCCGGCAGGUGGGUAACCCAGCGGGGACGCGUAAGGGAAGGAGUGCGGGGAAAGCUCUGUCAUCUUGGAGCCCAGGUCGAAAAAGGAGUAAGGGUUCGUGGACAUGGACGGGUUGAAGAAGACCCGGGCGGCCGCGGCGGCAGCUGCAGCAGCCGCCUUGUCCGGGUUGCCGAUCACACUCUCGGGCAGACCUCCCGCGGAGAGACCGCUGACUUUGAGCGCGUCGUGCUCCCCAAGGUUGUACGGCACCGGGAAGGAGAACUUGUCCUUUUUCAUCAGGGUCUUCGGCUUCCGCCUGGGCCGGUAUUUGUAGUCAGGGUGCUCCUUCAUGUGCAUGGCUCGCAGCCGCUUGGCUUCGUCGAUGAAGGGCCUCUUCUCGGACUCCGUAAGAAGUUUCCACUCGGCGCCUAACCUCUUGCUGAUCUCCGAGUUGUGCAUUUUGGGAUUCUCCUGAGCCAUUUUUCUCCUCUGGGCUCUGGACCACACCAUGAAGGCAUUCAUCGGACGCUUUACGUGAUCCAUUGGUUUCGACAUAGUUAGCACCAACUCUCUCUAGAAGAAUACACGCAUCCAUAAAUAAUAUGCACUUAUUCUAUAUGAAUUUACAAGCGACACGUCAUGCGUCAUCUACUUACUUGUAACUUCAGUUCUUCAUCACAGCCGUGAUUGUCUUCUGCCAAAAAAAAAAAACUCUUUAUGAAUGUUGUAUUAUCCUCUUCAUCCUAACAUCCACGACAAAACAAAUGUGUGGCUGUAAGAAAAACCACACUGUGUUGUUGUCCCCGGUGUACAGAGAGUGUCCUCCAGCAUCAGCAGCAGCGUGCACGCAAGUGGAUGAGAACUCUCCGUGGCCCCGUGUGAAAUACUGCAUGUGUGGCAGGUAGUGAAAGUGCGCGCUGGCGCAUGCGCAGUACGCCACCAUAGGGGACGUGGUCCCCCCCCCCCCCUCCCCUAAAUUCUCAUCCUGUGUUUAAAAGAGAAGCAAAACCACGUUUAGAUAUGGAAUACAGUCUUUGUCAUUGCAUUGUCUAACCAUUUCUGUUUAUUUCUAUUAUGUGCGCAUUUGGGUGCAUGCGUCCAUAUUGGUGGCAUUCUUGGAGUCAUCUUGCACGGCCUUACCUGCCCUUAGUUUAGUCCACGAUCCCCCCUCUCGCUCCCACACCUUUAGCGACUAUACAAGCAAACCAUAUUCUUUAAUAUCCUCACAUUUGGCUCCAAUAUUGAGCCACUGAGGAGGUUUGAAGUGUUUCUAAUCGCGCUUGGUUAAAAUUAAUUACUUUCCUCAAACCACCACCCGUCCUUUCUUUUUGUUUUUUUUUCUCACUUUCCUCUCCUUUCACUUCAAAAGACCCUCCCAAGGGCAGCCAGUCGACAACUGGAAGAUUCAGCUUCGCAAUUACACUUAUCAGCUCGGACUUGUUGAGUAAAUUGUUGGUUUAAGUGGUUUGUUCUCGCACCUUCUUCGCUUUACGUUAUUAUAUAUGGACAAAAAAUUAAGGAAAUGGCAGAGGGCUGGAAUAAUGAUUAUAAAAGACGAAUUAGGCUGCAGGUCCAGCGUUUAAAUAAAUAUGGAAUUCAAUUCAGAGCUCGUUUUUUUAAAAAUAGUGAAUGAUAUUGUUUGCACAGGCCAAUAAUAAUAUUGAUAAUUAUUAUAGCAAAAUUGUUGAUGGAGUUUUAAAUGAAAGUUGUCACGUGCCAAAAGGAAUAUUUUAAUUGCUGCUGUAAUAUUGUGCGUUGUAAUAUUUAUGUAAUCAAACAUUUAUGGUUGUAUAUUUUCUGUGGACUGAGUUUGCUGUGGUGUGGAUUAUAUCGGGUGUGCAGGUGAGAGACAAAAAAAAUGUUUGCAAUGAGUCGCGCUAUUUCCUCCACACGCGGGAGCGUUGCACGUGGCUCUCGUGGCAAAAAUAGAAAAGAAAAAAAAACGGCCAAAAUUGCAAUGAAUUAUUCUGAAUCAGUUACGGUGGGGCGUUCUUAUCAGGAGACGACUAUACUGUAUGUACUCGUCUCUGAGCCUGUAUUUUUUUCAUGAUUGUUAUUAUUAUUAUUACAAAUCUAUUGCAUUUAUUCGCAUUUCUCCCUGCAUCAUUUUUUAAUUGUAUUUCUUAAAAUAGCACAUUAUUUUUAUCCGUUUCCCUUA